GAGAAGGUUCUUUGUUUCCAGGCACUCGUUUGACUUGCCAUUUAGGUGUUUGGUGAAAUGUUUGAGUGAAGUUCUAUCCAUAAAUUUGAGAUAGUUUUGAUGCAUUGGCUUACUAGAGAUCUUACUAUGUGGUUGAAUUAUCUUAUUUUCAAAAUCAACCUACAAUCCUUUUGAAUUUCGUACAUGAUUGUAUUAGGCCACCAGGACAGUAUACACCUAGUAGUUGUGCAAUCAUUGAAAUGCCUAGGUGAAUGAUUUUGAUAGCUAUGAUGCACACACAUGCACAUUGCACUUAUUUUAUUAUUGCAUUUUUAUUCACAUAACCAUGUUCUUUUUUCCACCAUGCAAUCAUAUCAACCAAAAACCAGAAAUUAAGAAGAACCAAGUCCCCAUGUUUAAUCAGAUUUCAUUUGAAGUCAACAAAAGAAUCCUCAUUCUCAGAAAUUAGGCGGAAAUGAAAGAAACCCCACACUAUUUUACCAUCACAAAUUCAACAAAUUUUAUUUUUUUUUUGAUUCAAGUGUAGCUCAACCCAAAAGAUUGUAUAGCUCUGUUCAAGUUUUUAAGUUUUUACAAGUGGAGCCCAUGGUUCACUAAUCCAAAUAGAUGACUACAGUGGAUGCGGUGUCCUCACCUUUUCAUGGUGUUCAACAAAUAGAUGUCUAAUAAAGAAAAAACAGCAAGAGUCCACGCCAUUAUACCAUUCACAUAUCUUUAGUCAAGGAAGUAACCUAUCAUUCCUCGGGAAGAAAUAGGGACAACUGUCACAGCUCCGUAUUCAAAAAACUGUUUCAAAUGCAAUACCCAAUAGUUAACAAGGUUUUAUGCUUGAAACAAAGGUAAUAUUUUUUUAUUUUUUAUUUUUUUUUAUUUUUUUGCUUUUCCUAUGUUGCUUUGCUAUUGAUUCCAUAUAGCUUUUUCUUUCUUCUUUAUAUAGUUUCUAUGAUGAUUUAUAUUUUUUUACAAGGUUUCUAGAGAAUAUAUGUGCGUAGGACCACUUCGGUCAGUUUCAUUCUCGAUUUCCAUACAAACAAGGAAAGAUGAUCUUAGAACUGUGGUGUCCUAUCUACAAAGCAACCCAAAAAUUUCCUGCAUAGGUCUUUGGGGACGAUCUAUGGGUGUACUGUCACAAG